AAGUCGUAACAAGGUUUCCGUAGGUGAACCUGCGGAAGGAUCAUUACCGAGUGAGGGCCCUCUGGGUCCAACCUCCCACCCGUGUUUAUCGUACCUUGUUGCUUCGGCGGGCCCGCGCCCGCCGAAGACACCAUUGAACGCUGUCUGAAGAUUGCAGUCUGAGCAAUUAGCUAAAUAAGUUAAAACUUUCAACAACGGAUCUCUUGGUUCCG
rnacentral:misc_RNA from 1 species